UGGGGAAUAUUGGACAAUGGGCGAAAGCCUGAUCCAGCCAUGCCGCGUGUGUGAAGAAGGUCUUCGGAUUGUAAAGCACUUUAAGUUGGGAGGAAGGGCAGUAAGCGAAUACCUUGCUGUUUUGACGUUACCGACAGAAUAAGCACCGGCUAACUCUGUGCCAGCAGCCGCGGUAAUACAGAGGGUGCGAGCGUUAAUCGGAUUUACUGGGCGUAAAGCGUGCGUAGGCGGCUAAUUGAGUCGGAUGUGAAAUCCCCGAGCUUAACUUGGGAAGUGCAUUCGAUACUGGUUAGCUAGAGUGUGGGAGAGGAUGGUAGAAUUCCAGGUGUAGCGGUGAAAUGCGUAGAGAUAUGGAGGAAUACCGAUGGCGAAGGCAGCCAUCUGGCCUAACACUGACGCUGAGGUACGAAAGCAUGGGGAGCAAACAGG
rnacentral:rRNA from 1 species